rnacentral:rRNA from 1 species
GGCGCACACACUAGGCUUUUAAUGUUUACCAAAAACAUCGCCUCUUGCAAAAGCAAAGAAUAAGAGGUCCCGCCUGCCCUGUGACUAUUAGUUUAACGGCCGCGGUAUUUUGACCGUGCAAAGGUAGCGCAAUCACUUGUCUUUUAAA